CGGAGGCAUAAAGAACCUGAACUUCAGUGAGUCCAGACACCAGGGGAGUGAGUGUAAUUUAAAACCGUGCGUUCAAGUCCCAAUCUGGCUUGAGGAUGCGUUUGAGCCCCGAUCUGGGUUCAGGCCAUUGGUGCUGUCAGUUUCACCAUUGCCCCGUCCCAGCCCUCAGCUUUGGCACCUGGCCACCGAGAAAGGCACCAAGAGAAGCAGCCGGAGGAGGCCGUCUGGGCCUGAGUCGUUCUGGCUCUGCUGCACCGGGCCCUCCGCCACAGGCCAGGGGUGACUGGCCCUGGGCAGUACCCUGCCACCACAUGCAGCUGGCCCCUUUCAGAGCGGCCCGUCUGGCCACAGAGGGCCCAGAGCAGGAAGGCACCCACGUGCAUUCAACCUGGCUGGCGUGGUAGUGACCUUCCACUAACGUGUAAACCCUCUGAAAUGAGAUGAACCUCCUGUUUCUUCUGGGGUGUCUGUGGGGAGCCAGUCCUGGCAGCCCUGUGGAAACCUGGAGGGGCAGGUGGGGGUGGCCCUGAAACCCCAUUCUGGCCCCCUAGGCCUGUGAGGUCUGCGGCGGAAGCGCCUUUGCAAGGGCCCUACCCGCGCAGCGCGGCCGCGGGGCUCAACCAGUCCCAAGCAUGCGGAGGACACGACGCGGGCCUUGCGGGUUGAAAAGGAGCAGACCACCUUGAGGAAAUCUGUUUAUUCGAGAGCAGGGAGGACCGGUAGCUCACUGCUGCAGCUGAUACGCCCACCUCAGAGCAGGAGGGAAGCCAGAGCACCCAGCCCAGGCCGCUGUGCCCUCCCCCGCCCUUGCUCAGAGGCACCGACCUCAGGGUCCAUACUCAGCCGGCAAGGGCACAGUCGCAGGCUCCAGGUUUGCCGCAGCCUCCUCCUCCCUGCUGACCCCAGACCUACUCCGACACAGCAGUGGGGAGCAGACAGCCCCCAGCCAGAGCCUCGGCACCUCCUGCCCUGCAAACAGGCAGUGCCUCCAACCUGUCCCCAGACCCAACAUGCAUUCUCCUCGGGAGUAAUGUGGGAACUAGUAAAGCGCAUUUAACUCGUCAUCGCCUUACCCUCAGAUUUCCACAGUCAGAAUUUUCACCAAUUUCUCUCAAGUGUCGCCUCAGUCUCUCCGUAUAUAAUAUAUACGAGAGACCUACAUAGAGAUAGGUAAAUAGAGCUCUUUUGCAAAAUUCACACCGCAUUGCCCCGGUUUGAUUGUUUUGUUUUGUUUUUAAUGUCUUAAGCCCUUUCCCCAGGAUGGUCCAUAAAUGUUUGCUGAAGUCCUACCACCAGCGAGCGGGGCAUUGUCCAGGUGCUGGGGACAUGGGGAUGGUUGAGCAAAGCCUGGCCUCCGUUCCCUGGGGGCGGGGGACAGCGUGGACACGGGGCGCACCCUGAUUUAUCUGCAGUAGCCCCCCAAAAUGAGCUGCUUCCCUCUGGAAAGGGAUGCCGGGGCGAGGCACACCUGCUCAAGCGCGCAGAUUGGCCCCGGCCGUGGAAUGACGGUGGACCCCGGCGGGGAAGGCGUGGAGGAGACGGACCCACAGUGGCAGACACCUCAAGGGCGGAGGAACUGUCCUGAGCCGUUUUGCACGUUUUCCUUCACUAAUUCUGCAAGGUGGGCCCUACCGGCUUCCCCGUGUUGCCGCAGGAACGCGGGGGUUGUGCGGGGGAGGGGCGGGAGGUGCUCUGGGGGACGCUGGUCACUCACUAGCGUCCGUGACCCGGACACCCGCACUGGCUCCUGCCCUCAGUGACCGCCGUGCCAGAGCGCCAACUGACAUGUGCUGAUGCUGCGACAGCUACGAAUGUCAAGCCGUUUCCUGCUGCUCCCAGGAAAUGGAUGUGAAACCAGGUCCCCCGCGGCAGCCCGCCCUCCCCCAGCCGCCUGGCGCCGCGACCGCGCUUGCCCAGCGCGCCCCCUGGUGGCGGGCCGGCGCCCUCACCGCCGCUGUUUUUCACCAGGAGGCGAUGGCGCGAUAGAGGUGGUUCAUUUUAGUGAUUGUCUACUCACUAAAGGAGCCAGAACGCGAGUUGAUGGCGGCCAUCGGUCGCGGGGGAGGGGGGCUUGCUUGACCCAGGCCCUGUGUGCCCAGCCACCGUGGCCCCUCCAGUCCAGGGCUCAUAGCUUACAUGAAGCUGGGAGGUCAAGUGUCCCGCCUGCUCGCCCUCCCCACACCAUGACCCCCUGAGGUCAGCAGGAUAGACAGACAGACCUCCCUGUGCCUCUGUCAGAGUCCCGAGCGUCCUGGAGGGUGGACAGUGCUGGGCUCGUGGAAACCCACCCCCAGACAGAUGCUUCGGUGCUGCCCUGACACCCUUCGCACAGACAAAUGCAAAGCUCACUCAGACUGCAACACCCUGAGGCCCCAGUGCCCAGUGUCCUCCAGUGUCCCCAUGUCCCCCAUGUGUCCCCAGGCACACCCCCUAUGUCCCCGUGCCCCCCACCCCAUGUCCUGACCAGGGAGGACCCCAGCAUUUAAGUCAACAAGACAGUUAUGUGGGCUGGGUGGCAGGAACCCUAAUUAGGUCUGGCUAGAUGCCCCCCGGCCCCGGGCCCCCCUCCAUCUGCAUGCACUUGGGACCGGGCUUCAGAGAAGUGGGAUGCCCCCAAAGUAGGAUGUUUCUGUCGGUCCCCCCUUGGGUCCCAAGGCUUGAUGUGGGCUCCUGGAGAGGGUGGGAGGAGCGGUUGUGCUGACGGCCCCGAAGCAUGGGGAGGGAGCAAGCCAGGAAGGCACAGUUCACCCACCACUGGGCCCUGGGCUGCCCUGCCCAGGCGCACGGCGUGGAGGAGGGCUGACCCUUGCAUCCUGGGAGCCACGGUUCCUGAUGGACCUGCCCUUGUGGGCUCUUAAGUUAUGUCUGUCUUUUCUAACUCUGGGCUCCUAAAAAGUCCUUCGAACUUGGUGAAAACCUCUUGUGUGUGAACAGCCUUUCUGCCAGCACUAAGGAACCACCCGUCCUGCCUCUUUCGCCAGCUCAGUACGAGGCAGCCCUUCUGGAUUCCAAGACGCUAUUCGUGUGUGUGUGUUUCAUGCAGCAGAGAGUCUUCUGACUGUGAUCACGGGUUGCGGAGAUGCUGGUUCUUAGUGGACAUUCGGCGCUGAGCCCGGUGUGGCGAGGCGCACGGCUCUUUCCCAUUCUACGAAGCGCGGGUGCAGCCCCCGCUGUGCCAGGCACUCCUCCAGGGGCUGGGGGGCCAGGAGCAAAGAGAAGAUGUGAAAAUAAGGGCACAGCGCCAGUGUCCAGCAGCUCGCAGCCUCACCAGCAGCCCUGGAGCUCAAGGAUGCAAUUUACCCCAAACAGUGGUUGCCACAGGAACGGAAAGCAAGAGGCCCUGAGGCCAAUGGUCCCAGUCCGGCUGUUGAGAGGCGGCUGUCAGGGACCCAGUCUACCAAUCCUUGUCCUCACUGAAGAGGGAGAAACUGGAUGUCCUGAACGGUAUUUGAGAGAACAGCUUGAAAUCCAACAAAAGCAAGGCUGGUGGGUGAGGAGGCAGCUUGGAGGAGGGCCAGCACCCCCACCCGCACCCUGUGCCCCCAGGCUCUGUUUGUUCUGGCCUCAGCCAGAGCCCCACUUCACAGCUCGGGGACAGCAGCCAAACUUUUAUUGGUUAAAUAGCACUGAGGGCCAAGUUUGCUAAAACAAAAAACAGUGGCCCGGGGCCAAAGAAGGCUUUCUGGAACUGUUUUCCACUUUUCCUCCAAGCAGCUGGAGGUCCUGGGGUGGAGGCUUCAUGGGGCUCAAGCCUGUGAGACCAGGUCCUGACCCAGGAGUGAGGCCCAGGAAGAUCUCCAAAAAAGCUGAAAAGUGGACAGAAACCCACGACGAAUGGCAGCCAGCUGUGGUGUGAGGGACUUAGGUCAGCAGAAGGCCAUGGGUCUCUGGGGACAGUGACACCAUCUCACUCCUUGAGUCCUGCUCGGGUGGGAUUGGAGAAGGGGGUGGACACUGGCCAUACCAGUGACACUCACUUACUUCUGGAAAGUGGUCAGAAAUCACAGAAGAGCCACAGUCUCUCACUGCUGAACGCACUGCAGCCUGCAGAGAGGAUCCCGACCCCAGGUGAGGGACCCCACCAGAGAUGCGCCUCCCGCCUGAGCAGCUUCUCGCUCAUCCUAUGGCCCUGCCCUGAACAAGGCCCCAUCCUGCCUCACCUGGACAACCCCGCCCACAAACUCUCACCUGGACAACCCCGCCCACAAACUCUCACCUGGACAACCCCGCCCACAAACUCUUACCCCAAAAGAGUGGCUGCUGGGAAGUAGUUACUGGGAAGGCAGGACAAGAAAAGUGUGACACAAAGUGUUCUCUGCCCCUGGGCACACCCCCCUUCAGUGUGCUCUGUGAGUGUCGCCACACUUCUGCUGGGUCCCCCACAGGACACAGGAACGCCGACUUAGCCCCAAAGCGGUUCCCUCGUGGCGCCACAAGGUAACUCCUCAGAAGGAAACCAGUCUCUACGAUUUGGAGCCACAAUUGCAGAGGAAAGUCACGGAAACGCAGCAGGAUGAUCUAACUGGUUUGCCAAGGACAUGAUGCU